CCCAGACUCCUACGGGAGGCAGCAGUGGGGAAUUUUGGACAAUGGGCGAAAGCCUGAUCCAGCAAUGCCGCGUGCAGGAUGAAGGCCUUCGGGUUGUAAACUGCUUUUGUACGGAGCGAAAAGGCUCUCUCUAAUAAAGGGGGCUCAUGACGGUACCGUAAGAAUAAGCACCGGCUAACUACGUGCCAGCAGCCGCGGUAAUACGUAGGGUGCAAGCGUUAAUCGGAAUUACUGGGCGUAAAGCGUGCGCAGGCGGUUAUGUAAGACAGAUGUGAAAUCCCCGGGCUCAACCUGGGACCUGCAUUUGUGACUGCAUAGCUAGAGUGCGGCAGAGGGGGAUGGAAUUCCGCGUGUAGCAGUGAAAUGCGUAGAUAUGCGGAGGAACACCGAUGGCGAAGGCAAUCCCCUGGGCCUGCACUGACGCUCAUGCACGAAAGCGUGGGGAGCAAACAGGAUUAGAUACCCUGGUAGUCCACGCCCUAAACGAUGUCAACUGGUUGUUGGGUCUUCACUGACUCAGUAACGAAGCUAACGCGUGAAGUUGACCGCC
rnacentral:rRNA from 1 species